GGGGCUCCCUGGGCCUUGCAGGGGUUGUGGCUCAGGGAUGCUCUGGCUAGACCCAGCAUAUUGGAAAGCUCCCCCCCACUCCACGUCCCCCUGCCAUUAUCUGCCAUUAUCUGAGACUCAUGAGCCAGCCUAAGCAGGGAACCCCGGACUAUGAAGAAAGGCACCUUCACAUGUGCUGGGCACACCCACUUGACAGAAACACCCAAUUGAGAGGCAAAUCGAAAAAACUCACUGAACUGAGUGGAGGUGCCUAUAUCCACCUAAUCCUCAUUCUGCCACAACACUCUGUGCACUCAGGUUUUCUAAAUUCCUGCUAUGAGUGAGACCAUCUGGCUAACUGGCAUCUUCCACUUGACUAGCCAACUCUCUGACCUCCAAAUCCUACUGCUCCCCUGUCUUCCUGCACCUCACCAAAGGAUCCUGCAUGCUCACCU